rnacentral:rRNA from 1 species
GCUUUCUCCGAUCUGCCAACCCACCACCCCACCACGCCUCGCUCUCUCUGCCCCCUCCUUCCCCACGCAGCGCCGAUGGGGCAGGGCCUCCGCGGCCGCCGGCGCCCUCUGCGACUCCUCUUCUCCAUGAUUCGCCCGCUAUUACUCCUCUCCUCCACGAUUCGUGGUGAUGUUGGGGUGGCAUCUUCUUCGAGCGGGAGGUGUGCCUCGUCCUCGCACAUGCUCGGCCGCGCCAUCGGAGCCCCCCGCAGUGUAGAGGCAGUGCUCCGCCACCCGAUGCUGUUCUUCGCGUCGUCCCGCGCUCCCAAAGCUGGGAACCGGCUCCCCGCCUCCAAGUUCUCGGCAUCGACGUCCCGUGCUGCCUGCAUCCUCGCCAAGCCCGACUCGCAGCCGUGUAGCCCGAGCUCGCCAAGGCGCUUCAACUCCGCCGCCGCGCCAUCUUCUUCAGGCGCUCGAGCACGAGCACAAGCUCGCCCGCGCCCCACCUCUCUCUGCCGCUCCGUCCGCCGCCCGCGGUGCCGUGACCCGUCACUGUCGUGCCCUGCAUCACUCUGUAGCCGCGCCGCCUGGGUCGAUGCGGUCAGCGCUCCCAAGCCGUUGACCCCGCGCCAGGGGACGACUAUUUCCUCCCAUGCGUGCGCGCCCGUGCUCCAGCCCUCCCCUCCCCAUGCUGCCGGCACACUCGCGCCGCGGGGCCGUAUCCAGCCUGUGCCUGGACGACGGAAGCCCCCCCACUGUCCGUGCGCUCCGGCCAGCUCCCUGUCGCGCUCGAGACCUCCUCGAGUCUUCCCGCCGAGGCCUUCCCGGUGACCAGCCUUUGACUUGGGUCUCCUGUCCGCCUCGGCGCGGACGCCCGCCACGACGCCGGUGGCAAGCGGCGGCGCGUGCCCGGCGAUGGAGAACGGCAGGAUAAGCGGUGAGAGGCGCGGUGGUGAGCCAGUCCAAUAAGAGAUAAGGGUUGCGGGUAUAAUUUCUAACAAAUGCAGGGGGUUUUUACGCAAAACCAAACAUUUUUCUAAAUUGCCACUAAAACAGGGACUGCGGGUUGAUUUAUGUAAACCGAGGGGCUUUUUUGUAAAACUGCCAGGACGACGGACGACAGAAACCCAAUUCUCUUUAUUUUGAAGAAGAAGAAGAUUAGUCCGUAAAGCCCCUGUAAAUUGCCCGUUUGUGUAGCAUUACUCCUUUUCUUUUGAACCCAGUACAGGCGCAAGUAGUC